UACGUAGGUCCCGAGCGUUGUCCGGAUUUAUUGGGCGUAAUGCGAGCGCAGGUGGUUUAUUAAGUCUGGUGUAAAAGGCAGUGGCUCAACCAUUGUAUGCAUUGGAAACUGGUAGACUUGAGUGCAGGAGAGGAGAGUGGAAUUCCAUGUGUAGCGGUGAAAUGCGUAGAUGUAUGGAGGAACACCGGUGGCGAAAGCGGCUCUCUGGCCUGUAACUGACACUGAGGCUCGAAAGCGUGGGGAGCAAACAGG
rnacentral:rRNA from 1 species